rnacentral:tRNA from 1 species
GCCGCCUUCGUCUAGUGGUUUAGGACACCUGGUUCUCAGCCAGGAGAUUCAUGGGUUCGAAUCCCAUAGGCGGCA